rnacentral:rRNA from 1 species
ACCCGCUGAACUUAAGCAUAUCAAUAAGCGGAGGAAAAGAAACCAACAGGGAUUGCCCCAGUAACGGCGAGUGAAGCGGCAAUAGCUCAAAUUUGAAAUCUGGCUCUUUCAGGGUCCGAGUUGUAAUUUGCAGAGGGCGCUUUGGCGUCGGCAGCAGCCUAAGUUCCUUGGAACAGGUCAUCAUAGAGGGUGAGAAUCCCGUAUGUGGCUGCUUGUCUUCGCCGUGUAAAGCCCCUUCGAUGAGUCGAGUUGUUUGGGAAUGCAGCUCUAAAUGGGAGGUAAAUUUCUUCUAAAGCUAAAUAUUGGCCAGAGACCGAUAGCGCACAAGUAGAGUGAUCGAAAGAUGAAAAGCACUUUGGAAAGAGAGUCAAAAAGCACGUGAAAUUGUUGAAAGGGAAGCGCUUGCAGCCAGACGUGCCCGUAGUUGCUCAUCGGGGGUUCUCCCCCGUGUACUCUUCUAUGGGCAGGCCAGCAUCAGUCCGGGCGGUUGGAGAAAGACCUGUGUCAUGUAGCUGUUUUCGGGCAGUGUUAUAGGGCAGGUGGAAUGCAACCAGCCUGGACUGAGGUCCGCGCAUCUGCUAGGAUGCUGGCGUAAUGGCUGUAAGCGGCCCGUCUUGAAACACGGACCAAGGAGUCUAACAUCUAUGCGAGUGUUUGGGUGUCAAGCCCGAGCGCGUAAUGAAAGUGAACGGAGGUGGGAACCUUUUAGGUGCACCAUCGACCGAUCCUGAUGUCUUCGGAUGGAUUUGAGUAAGAGCAUAGCUGUUGGGACCCGAAAGAUGGUGAACUAUGCCUGAAUAGGGUGAAGCCAGAGGAAACUCUGGUGGAGGCUCGCAGCGGUUCUGACGUGCAAAUCGAUCGUCAAA